ACUAAAUAGAUACCCGGGUAGUCCACGCUGUAAACGAUGAGUGCUAGAUGCCGGAUUUUUUCGGUGUCGCAGCUAAACGCAUUAAGCACUCCACCUGGGAAGUACGAUCGCAAGGUUGAAACUCAAAGGAAUUGACGGGGGCCCGCACAAGCAGUGGAGCAUGUGGUUUAAUUCGAUGCAACGCGAAGGACCUUACCUAGGCUUGAAAAGCUUAUGACCGGCUGUGAAAGCAGCUUUCCCGCAAGGGCAUAAGUACAGGUGCUGCAUGGCUGUCGUCAGCUCGUGCCGUGAGGUGUUGGGUUAAGUCCCGCAACGAGCGCAACCCUUACCAUUAGUUGCCACCGGAGCAAUCCGAGCACUCUAAUGGAACUGCCUACGCAAGUAGUGAGGAAGGUGAGGAUGACGUCAAGUCCGCAUGGCCCUUACGCCUAGGGCUACACACGUGCUACAAUGGCCGCCACAACGGGCAGCAAAAUCGCGAGAUGGAGCGAAUCCCUAAAAAGCGGCCUCAGUUCGGAUUGGA
rnacentral:rRNA from 1 species